ACGGGUGAGGAAUACGUCGGAAUCUGCCUAUUUGUGGGGGAUAACGUAGGGAAACUUACGCUAAUACCGCAUACGACCUACGGGUGAAAGCGGAGGACCUUCGGGCUUCGCGCAGAUAGAUGAGCCGACGUCGGAUUAGCUAGUUGGCGGGGUAAAGGCCCACCAAGGCGACGAUCCGUAGCUGGUCUGAGAGGAUGAUCAGCCACACUGGAACUGAGACACGGUCCAGACUCCUACGGGAGGCAGCAGUGGGGAAUAUUGGACAAUGGGCGCAAGCCUGAUCCAGCCAUGCCGCGUGUGUGAAGAAGGCCUUCGGGUUGUAAAGCACUUUUGUCCGGAAAGAAAAGCAUUGGGUUAAUACCCCGAUGUCAUGACGGUACCGGAAGAAUAAGCACCGGCUAACUUCGUGCCAGCAGCCGCGGUAAUACGAAGGGUGCAAGCGUUACUCGGAAUUACUGGGCGUAAAGCGUGCGUAGGUGGUUUGUUAAGUCUGAUGUGAAAGCCCUGGGCUCAACCUGGGAAUGGCAUUGGAAACUGGCUGACUAGAGUGCGGUAGAGGGUAGUGGAAUUCCCG
rnacentral:rRNA from 1 species